AGAAAUUUAGGUUAACCAGACCAAAAGCCUUCAAAGCUUUAAGCAGAAGUGAAAACCUUCUAAUUUCUG
rnacentral:tRNA from 1 species